AUUGAACGCUGGCGGCAGGCCUAACACAUGCAAGUCGAACGAGUGGCGGACGGGUGAGUAAUGUCUGGGGAACUGCCCGAUGGAGGGGGAUAACUACUGGAAACGGUAGCUAAUACCGCAUACCAUCGGAUGUGCCCAGAUGGGAUUAGCUAGUAGGUGGGGUAAAGGCUCACCUAGGCGACGAUCUCUAGCUGGUCUGAGAGGAUUACCAGCCACACUGGGACUGAGACACGGUCCAGACUCCUACGGGAGGCAGCAGUGGGGAAUAUUGCACAAUGGGCGCAAGCCUGAUGCAGCCAUGCCGGGUGUAUGAAGAAGGCCUUCGGGUUUUAAAGUACUUUCAGCGAGUAGGCGUUACUCGCAGAAGAAGCACCGGCUAACUCCGUGCCAGCAGCCGCGGUAAUAC
rnacentral:rRNA from 1 species